GGGGAAACAACGCCCCUGUGGCUAUAAAAGGAUCCUCAGACGUGCCUCAAGCCUGGGAUGACCCCGCUGCUCUUGCUCCAGCGUCUGCAGACACAUCACUCCAGAGUCGAUUUUUAAAAACAAGAUUAUUUCUGCCCCAGCAGCACUAAGAACAUCUGCCCAGUCACACGUGCAUCAGUGAAGCAUGUCUGGACAUGUCUCCAGCAUUGAAGGAGUCUCCAUAAACGCAGGCUGAGGAGGCUGUGCAAAAUGGGCAGCACAACCUCAAAACCCACUGAGAGGAGAGGAGGAGCUGGAGCAGCCACAGGACAAGCUCCAGGAGAGGAGAGCGGCACAAACAGGAGAUCCAGGAAGAGGAGUCCUAGGAAACACGUCUCCAGCACACACACACUGACUUGACAGGAAGAAUCCUUGGACUUGCUCUGCAAGCAGUGGCGGUGGAGAGACUGGUUUGAGCUGACUUUGUGGAAGAGGGUGAUCUGUUCGAGAUGAUUCCUCAUGAACUUCAUGGAGCUCAUUUUAGAAGUUGGAGUAAUUCCAUCUUCUCUUGUGUGAAACCUGGAGCUGGCCACCAGUAAACACAAAAGGAGCCAGAGCCUCAGAGAGCACAGCAAGGCUGGUCCCUGCAGGUAGCUACUGAAUGUAGUUGAGUUUGUGAUCUCAGAGGAACCUAGAAGAAAUAAGAGGGAAA
rnacentral:lncRNA from 1 species